GGGGGUAUAACUCUGGUAGAGCAUCUGCUUUGCAUGCAGAAGAUCCCAGGUGCAAUCUCUGGCAUCCCUA